rnacentral:rRNA from 14 species
CCAAGGGCACACGGCGGAUGUCUUGGCGUCAGGAGGCGAUGAAGGACGUGGUAACCUGCGAUAAGCUUGGGGAAGCUGGUAAACGAGCUGUGAUCCCAAGAUUUCCGAAUGGGGCAACCCGACCCAAUUGGGUCACCGUACGCUGAAUGCAUAGGCGUACGGAGCGAACCCGGGGAACUGAAACAUCUAAGUACCCGGAGGAAGAGAAAACAAUAGUGAUUCCCUAAGUAGUGGCGAGCGAACGGGGAGGAGCCCAAACCGGGCCCUACGGGGUUCGGGGUUGUAGGACCUGCGCAAUUACGAGUAUCAGAAAUCGAAGCCGCCUGGAAAGCGGCCCCAUAGGAGGUGAAAGGCCUGUAGGUGUAACGAUACGAGUAAGGCGGGUAUCCUGAGUAGCGCGAGGCCGGUGAAACCUUGCGUGAAUCUGCCGGCACCAUCCGGUAAGGCUAAAUACAUCUGCAUGACCGAUAGUGAACCAGUACCGUGAGGGAAAGGUGAAAAGCACCCCGACGAGGGGAGUGAAACAGUUCCUGAAACUGGAUGCCUACAAACAGUUGGAGCCCAAGGUUCGUCCUGGGUGACAGCGUACCUUUUGUAUAAUGGGUCAGCGACUUAAUCUAGCAAGCAAGCUUAAACCGUUAGGUGUAGGCGUAGCGAAAGCGAGUCUGAAUAGGGCGACUAAGUUUGUUGGAUUAGACCCGAAACCGAGUGAUCUAGGUAUGAGCAGGUUGAAGGUGCAGUAACAUGCACUGGAGGACCGAACCCACGCCUGUUGAAAAAGGCGGGGAUGACUUGUGCCUAGGGGUGAAAGGCCAAUCAAACUCGGAAAUAGCUGGUUCUCCGCGAAAUCUAUUUAGGU